ACGAACGCUGGCGGCAGGCCUAACACAUGCAAGUCGAGCGAGACCUUCGGGUCUAGCGGCGGACGGGUGAGUAACGCGUGGGAAUAUGCCCUUCUCUACGGAAUAGCCUCGGGAAACUGGGAGUAAUACCGUAUACGCCCUUAGGGGGAAAGAUUUAUCGGGGAAGGAUUAGCCCGCGUUGGAUUAGGUAGUUGGUGGGGUAAUGGCCUACCAAGCCGACGAUCCAUAGCUGGUUUGAGAGGAUGAUCAGCCACACUGGGACUGAGACACGGCCCAGACUCCUACGGGAGGCAGCAGUGGGGAAUCUUAGACAAUGGGGGCAACCCUGAUCUAGCCAUGCCGCGUGAGUGAUGAAGGCCUUAGGGUUGUAAAGCUCUUUCAGCUGGGAAGAUAAUGACGGUACCAGCAGAAGAAGCCCCGGCUAACUCCGU
rnacentral:rRNA from 1 species